rnacentral:lncRNA from 1 species
UUUGUUUUUCUACUUGAAUAUUUUCUGAAGUCUUUGUAAUUUCUUCUAAGUUUGCACUUGUGUUCCACUUGUUUUCUAUUCUACAAUUUUUUUCAAGGUUUACCUUUAAUUGAUCUAGCUUUGAAGUUGGUAGUAUUUUCCCCAUAUCUUUUAGUUUCUUUUGCUUGUGUUUCAUUCUUUUCAAAUUAUCGUUCGAAAACGAUGGCACACAAAAGGCCUUAUGAUGUCCCUAUUGAAAAUGAUGAAUUCAGAUGUACUACUACCAUGGAGGAUAUAUGGCAUCUACUCAAAUGCAGGGAGAUGGAAUGUUUUUCUAACUUUAAAUACAAGUUUUCAAUCCCCAAAAGGAAACACUGUUUAAGCGAAGUGGGUUUGAAAGAGGAUGAUUCACUGUACUUUUUGGUACCACUAUUGUAUUUGAGGUAGGUUUUAAUUUGUCACUGCAUCCUUUCUUUUUGUAGGUUAUAAAUUCUUACGAGGUUGCACGGGGUCAACUGACGGGGAUUUUUGGUUGGCUUUCUUUGCUCUUUUUUAUAUAUAUUGUCGCCAAAAGGAAAAAGAACCUUUAGUUGAUGUGUUUAGAAGAGCUUUUAUAUAUAUAUAUAUUUAGGGGCAAAGUAAAAAAAAAAUUAGGGGGGCCAAAAUUAAAUUGUAAUUUAUACGAUAGUAAAAAUACAAUUUCACCAUUUUAAUAGCCUAUAUCUUUAUAAUUUUUAAAGGAUUAAAUCAAAAUUUUAUCAUUUUUAGGGGCCUAAAUGGAAAAUUUUCCAUUUUUGAGGGGCCUUGCUAGCCCUCUAGCUAUGCAUAUGUAUAUAUUAUCUCCUACUGGUGAAGUUUAGCAUAAGGUCUUUAUGAUGCUGAUAGCUAGCAAAGGCAUGACAACGAUGCUAGACGACCUCUGAAAUAAUAUGCAUUUAGUGAGAGAAAAUUACAUUAAAGUUCAACAAUUAUGCAGCGAUGGAUUUCCAUUCCCAAUUCCUGGUACAAGCUUAGUAAUGAUCAAAAUACAUUGAAGCCCAUUUUGGAAACCAAUUCGGAGAUGCACUUGUAUUAACGCUUAUGCGAAGGUUCACUGAUAAAGGUGGAAAACACUCAUAACUUGUACCAUAUAUGGAAAUAUUGCCUGAUGAGGAGGAGCCUAGAUAUUAUGGGAUAAAACAAACUUUAACAUAAUUGGUAGCAACCUAUUGAUGAUGUCAAACCAUGCAACAAGGUGUGGCCUCAUGGCAUAUGGGAUGUUAGCAAUGUUUUAUUAGGUUUGUAGCAGGAACUUAAGGAUUUUUUAUGAGAUGCCCAUUGUCCUGAGUGAAAAUGGGAUUAUAGAAGUAAACAAAAGGCAGAGUACAUAGAGAAUCUGAAGAAACAAAAAGACCAACACUACAACUUCAGAGAAGGAUAGUUGUAGUUGGCGAAAGCUCCUAUGGUAGAAGUUCUAAAGACGCUGGAUCUCACGCAUGACCUGAGACAGACUUUAUUAUGAUUUUCUUGUGCAUGCUACUUACUUUUUGUACGAGCGAGCGUAUUUAUUGCUAAGCAAAGAAAUUAUGAAUUUAUAUAAUGGAUAAAUAUGGGGAUAUGGAAAAGGUUCAACCUAUGAAUGUUUGUUUGAGGGAUCUUUUUCUGGAUGUGUUGCUUCUACGCAAUGCUAACUUCUCUUCUGAUACCAGUUCUGGUGUGUGUAAAGAUUUAUAAUAUUUUUUGAUUUGAUGUUUCAUACAAAAGUAACUUGGUCAUUUUGCAGAAGGUGACAUCGAAAAAGGAUGAAGAAAGAUGAUUGAAA